UACGUAGGGUGCAAGCGUUAAUCGGAAUUACUGGGCGUAAAGCGUGCGCAGGCGGUUUUGUAAGUCUGUCGUGAAAUCCCCGGGCUCAACCUGGGAAUUGCGAUGGAGACUGCAAGGCUAGAAUCUGGCAGAGGGGGGUAGAAUUCCACGUGUGAGCAGUGAAAUGCGUAGAGAUGUGGAGGAACACCGAUGGCGAAGGCAGCCCCCUGGGUUAACACUGACGCUC
rnacentral:rRNA from 1 species